rfam:Cucumis sativus cultivar 9930 chromosome 1, whole genome shotgun sequence.
GGAGUUGAAUGCAGCCAAGGAUGACUUGCCGGCGAUUCAUGUAUAUCGCCGGCGUGAAUGUGGGGCGGCGCGGCGGCAAGUCGUCCUUGGCUACCUUGAGUUCUCU